CGGAACGUAGCGCAGCUUGGUAGCGCACUGGUCUGGGGGACCAGGGGUCGUCGGUUCAAAUCCGGCCGUUCCGACCA
rnacentral:tRNA from 1 species